GACGGACGGUGCAAGCGUUGCUCGGAAUCACUGGGCGUAAAGGGUGCGUAGGCGGCCGUGUAAGUCUGGCGUGAAAGCCCCGGGCUCAGCCCGGGAAGUGCGCUCGAAACUGCGCGGCUCGAGUGCCGGAGGGGAGAGUGGAAUUCCUGGUGUAGCGGUGAAAUGCGUAGAUAUCAGGAGGAACACCAGCGGCGAAGGCGGCGCUCUGGGCCGGAACUGACGCUGAGGAGCGAAAGCGUGGGUAGCAAACAGG
rnacentral:rRNA from 1 species